GCAGUGUGUCCUCAAUAGGAGAGAGGAAAAUUGCAAAGGGGAGAGAUCUGAGGCGGGGUUUUAUAAGAGGGUGGCUGCAAUUCAUGGGGUCUGUCGGUUAAAAGAGUAGAGGGUGAUAACCACGCCACACCAUGUCAUGCCAUGAAGUGCAAUAGUGUCACUAUGUCACCCGAUCGCAGUUCCACAGAACCUACAUUCGCCGACAAUUUUGCCCCUGCACAAUACUCUCGAAUGUUAAUUGAAGUUAUCGGCAAUCCAUCUCCGCAAUGCUGGGACGAAGGUAAUUGAAUAUUUUCAAUUGAACAAAGAAAGAAGCAAACUUCGCGAUUCUCGAAUCAAUGUUCCUUGCGCAAGCUAUAAAUGGUCUGAAUUAGUCGAUAUUUUUCAAGCAUGGAAGUUUAUUAAGAUUAUCAUGAAUAAUGUAUUCAUUCUAUUGAAGGGGACACAACGACGAUACGGAUGAUUAAAUGGCAGGAGGAAAAAUAUUCAGCUUGAAUUGAAUAACGAGUUAGGUUGUUGAGUUCCCAUGAAUGUCACCAGUAGGAUACUACCGUAAUACUGCCUAUGCCUCUACUGUGCAUUGACUGACAAUGAAUAACUGCUAAGUCCUUUAACUGUUGUGUUUUGACUCGUUGGGAAGACUGGAGAUCAGGUGAUGCGGAUCUAAUUUAGACGGACUGCAGAAAACCAAGUCGAUUCUAUGCUAAUUCCAGGAGGACUGAAACUUUAAUUCCACCAGAUUUCGUCCCGCACGCGCACAGCGUGCUUUUAGUACGUUUUAUGAAUCACGAAGACGAAUGGACUAUUUAAAAAAACACCGAGCCCAUAGUCAGCACAGUUUCUACGUAAACUGUGCUGGGUUUUUGACUCGUAUUUGUGACGCGCAAAUCGCUUCGUCGAACGCUGACAAAUGUAAUUCGCUAUUCGUUAUUAUGAGCAUUGCUACAGCAGCAUUCUUGAAAAAAUAUCUUCGUAAAACUCUGGGUCUAAAGCCCAAUAGUAUUGAAAUACGAAAAGCGUCCAAGGUCUACUCUGCCACGGGUAUUUUUAUACAUGCAAAUCGUGACUCGUUACCGAAAACGUAUCCGGAUGAUUUCUUCUCUUUUUCAGACCUUGAAAAACAAACUUUCAGAAUCGAAGAACCGGAAUUCACUUAGAUCGAGUAAGAGAUGUUCCAAUAUCGUAUAUCUGGCGCGUAAAACAAGGGCAACAUCCCGGAGAAUGAGGAGAAAAAAACCCAGAAAGAAAUUUAAAAAAAAGUCCGAGAUUUUGUGUCACGUAUGUUUACCAGAUAAAAAGCGUGUCGCGUUUACAAAUGAAGCCAACAGACGGGAACGAGAAACGCUGUUAGGUGAAGGAGAAGAAGCUCCUUCCCCGAAUCGUCGAAGGCGCUAUAAGCCGAUGAUCCAGGCCUUUUUUCGAGGUUGUAUAUCAAGCACAUGGAAAAAUUUCUUAAAAUUACUUGAUAGAAUGUCAGUAAAAUCGGAAGUAAAAUAUUCCCGUCGAGUAUUAGGAUAGCUUCGAAAAAACUCUGACCGUUUAAAAGAUACACAGUAAAAAGUACUCGUGGGAAAAAAAAAAUGAGCCUGCCCGUUUUAUACGAUUGGCUUUCACCCAAGGGGAGCAUAUUUUGAAAACUGGACCAGUGCCCGAAUGCGGUGUGCAUAGCGGUACUAAAACCUAUUCGAGAAAACUCGUGGAAAGCUGAGUCUGCUGAAAUAAACUACAUAAACUUUAAGAGGAUUUGCCAUUAUAUCCACCUGCUACAGAAUAACGUGAUAAAAUGCAAAUAUCAUAAGAACUGCAGCACCGGUGUCUGUGGUGUCUACGGACCGACGCGAGUAUCGAAAAAAAAUUUACUACGAGGUCGAAACUUGCAAAUUUUACACGAUGUAGAUAUUCUCUGCGUCGUAGAUUCAUUUUUCUCUUCCUUUUUUUUUCUCCACAUCUGAAUUUCUGUCUCAAGUGGUAGUGACCUCAAAUUUACUCGUGAGAAAAUGAACAUGCAACAAAACAAUGAAAUUUAAAUAUACGUACAAGGUAUUACCUGUCUUCGUACGUAUACUUAUUAUAUGAGAACAUACAUCAGCGUAGAGAGAUCGCGUGACGAUUAAUUGAAAGUAAGAGCGCGUGUGCGUCAUACUUGAUAAUUAUUACGUUCGUAAGUUUUUACCGAACACGCAAUUGUUACUUCUUCAAAUACACUUAUACCAUCUCAAUCGAGACGUAGAUCUUAUGUGUAACGACGCGAAAAUAUAUGGAGAUUUUUUUUUCCUCCGCAUGUGUAAUUCUCACGCAUAAUAAAGAGAAUGCAUUCCAACGUAAUUUCAGUUAAUUACAUUAACCAAUGGAGUGACGGAGUGGAUUACGCGGCUGGAUCUCUCUGCCUAAUUACGAAAGGCACGUGCAACUGCGUAGGUACUCGACGUUCAACGAGCCCUCCUUAACGACUGCGACGACGACGAGAUGAUGAAGAAGAAGAAGAUGAAGAAGAAGAAUACGACACCACCAACGUAUAAUCCCAAAAGAGGCUUAGAGUAUAUUCUGCAAGUGAGAUUAUAAGCCGAACGUAUCAGACUUGGAAAAUAUAUCUGCGCAUUUAGCUUUCAUUACAGCAAAGAGAAAGAAAGAAAUAAAGAUACGAAGUUUUGAAUUUUA